rnacentral:misc_RNA from 1 species
GAUGAAGAACGUAGCGAAAUGCGAUAGGUAGUGUGAAUUGCAGAUGUAACGUGAAUCAUCGAAUCUUUGAACGCAAAUUGCACUCUCUGGUAUUCCGGGGAGUAUGCCUGUUUGAGGGUCGCCAAAUCAACAUCGAAAUUCAUUUGCUUUUGUAAAUGUUUAUCGGAUUUGAGCCGUCUUUUUAUUUUUUUUAAAGUGGCUUAAAAUGUAUUUUUUUGGUAUCGAAAAACGUUAUUUUACGAUUCAAUCGAUCAAAAAACAAACGUUUCGAAUGCCGUCUUUUAAUGUAAUACGUUUGACUGUGUCAUACAAUCAUGGUUUCAUUCGUAUACGAGUUUAAUUUUUGACCUCAAAUCAGGUAAGAACACCCGCUGAACUUAAGCAUAUCAAUAAGCGGAGGA